rnacentral:miRNA from 1 species
AACUGAGAUACAUCGCAAUCG